AGAGUUUGAUUCUGGCUCAGGACGAACGCUGGCGGCGUGCUUAACACAUGCAAGUCGAACGAUGAAGCCUAGCUUGCUAGGUGGAUUAGUGGCGAACGGGUGAGUAAUACGUGAGUAACCUACCUUUAACUCUGGGAUAAGCCUGGGAAACUGGGUCUAAUACCGGAUACGACCAAUCUCCGCAUGGGGUGUUGGUGGAAAGCGUUAUGUAGUGGUUAUAGAUGGGCUCACGGCCUAUCAGCUUGUUGGUGAGGUAACGGCUCACCAAGGCGACGACGGGUAGCCGGCCUGAGAGGGUGACCGGCCACACUGGGACUGAGACACGGCCCAGACUCCUACGGGAGGCAGCAGUGGGGAAUAUUGCACAAUGGGCGCAAGCCUGAUGCAGCGACGCCGCGUGAGGGAUGACGGCCUUCGGGUUGUAAACCUCUGUUAGCAGGGAAGAAGAGAGAUUGACGGUACCUGCAGAGAAAGCGCCGGCUAACUACGUGCCAGCAGCCGCGGUAAUACGUAGGGCGCGAGCGUUGUCCGGAAUUAUUGGGCGUAAAGAGCUUGUAGGCGGUUUGUCGCGUCUGCUGUGAAAGGCCGGAGCUUAACUCCGUGUAUUGCAGUGGGUACGGGCAGACUAGAGUGCAGUAGGGGAGACUGGAAUUCCUGGUGUAGCGGUGGAAUGCGCAGAUAUCAGGAGGAACACCGAUGGCGAAGGCAGGUCUCUGGGCUGUAACUGACGCUGAGAAGCGAAAGCAUGGGGAGCGAACAGGAUUAGAUACCCUGGUAGUCCAUGCCGUAAACGUUGGGCACUAGGUGUGGGGGACAUUCCACGUUUUCCGCGCCGUAGCUAACGCAUUAAGUGCCCCGCCUGGGGAGUACGGCCGCAAGGCUA
rnacentral:rRNA from 1 species